rnacentral:rRNA from 1 species
AGCGAACGCUGGCGGCAGGCUUAACACAUGCAAGUCGAGCGGGCACUUUCGGGUGUCAGCGGCGGACGGGUGAGUAACGCGUGGGAACGUGCCCUCUGGUUCGGAAUAACUCAGGGAAACUUGAGCUAAUACCGGAUACGCCCUUUUGGGGAAAGGCUUGCUGCCGGAGGAUCGGCCCGCGUCUGAUUAGCUAGUUGGUGAGGUAACGGCUCACCAAGGCGACGAUCAGUAGCUGGUCUGAGAGGAUGAUCAGCCACACUGGGACUGAGACACGGCCCAGACUCCUACGGGAGGCAGCAGUGGGGAAUAUUGGACAAUGGGCGCAAGCCUGAUCCUGCCAUGCCGCGUGAGUGAUGAAGGCCUUAGGGUUGUAAAGCUCUUUUAUCCGGGACGAUAAUGACGGUACCGGAGGAAUAAGCCCCGGCUAACUUCGUG